rnacentral:rRNA from 1 species
UACGUAGGCAGCGAGCGUUGUUCGGAGUUACUGGGCGUAAAGGGUGUGUAGGCGGUUGUUUAAGUUUGGUGUGAAAUCGCCCGGCUCAACUGGGCGGGGUCAGCGGAUACGGCAGAGCUUGAGCAAGCUAGGGGGCAAUGGAAUUCCCGGUGUAGUGGUGGAAUGCGUAGAUAUCGGGAGGAACACCAGUGGCGAAGGCGGUUGCCUGGGGCUUGCUGACGCUGAUGCGCGAAAGCGUGGGGAGCGAUCCGG